rnacentral:rRNA from 1 species
GAUGAACGCUAGCGGCAGGCUUAAUACAUGCAAGUCGAACGGUAACAGGUCUUCGGACGCUGACGAGUGGCGCACGGGUGAGGAACACGUACACAAUCUACCUUAUACUGGAGAAUAGCCCCGGGAAACUGGGAUUAAUACUCCAUAGUCUUUAAUGAUCACAUGAGAAAUAAAGUAAAGCUUCGGCGGUAUAAGAUGAGUGUGCGUCCCAUUAGAUUGUUGGUGAGGUAACGGCUCACCAAGUCGACGAUGGGUAGCUGGCGUGAGAGCGCGACCAGCCACACUGGCACUGAGACGCGGGCCAGACUCCUACGGGAGGCAGCAGUAGGGAAUAUUGGUCAACGGACGAAAGUCUGAACCAGCCAUGCCGCGUGGAGGAUGACUGCCCUCUGGGUUGUAAACUCCUUUUAUAUGGGAAGAAACCUCUGGAUUCACUCCAGAGCUGACGGUAUCAUAUGAAUAAGCACCGG